GUGGAGCAUCACGGGAGCCCGGCGCACCGGGCUGAGAGGCGGGCUGAGGCGGCCCGCGACCGUCCGAACCUGAUCCGGGUCAUGCCGGCGAAGGGAGAGACGAGACUGUGGCA
rnacentral:ncRNA from 2 species